rnacentral:misc_RNA from 1 species
GUGAAUCAUCGAAUUUUUGAACGCAAAUUGCACUCUCCGGUUUUCCGGGAGAGUAUGCCUGUUUGAGGGUCAGCCUAAAAAAAAUCGACAUUGUUGCUGUUAUUUAAUGGUGACUUUCGUCGGAGAUUGGGUUAUCUUAGACCUUUUUUUUUUUUUUUGUUUUAAGCAACUUAAAUUUUUUUUUCACGAUUCCUUGAACGUUUUUAAG